rnacentral:pre_miRNA from 1 species
AUGCUACUUCCUCCAUUCCAGAUUACUUGUCGCGGAAAUGGAUGUAUGUAGAUGUAUUUUAGUUCUAGAUACAUUAAUUUUUGCGACGAGUAAUUUGGAACGAAGGAAAUACGUU